CAGCAGCCGCGGUAAUACGUAGGUGGCAAGCGUUGUCCGGAAUUAUUGGGCGUAAAGGGCUCGCAGGCGGUUUCUUAAGUCUGAUGUGAAAGCCCCCGGCUCAACCGGGGAGGGUCAUUGGAAACUGGGAAACUUGAGUGCAGAAGAGGAGAGUGGAAUUCCACGUGUAGCGGUGAAAUGCGUAGAGAUGUGGAGGAACACCAGUGGCGAAGGCGACUCUCUGGUCUGUAACUGACGCUGAGGAGCGAAAGCGUGGGGAGCGAACAGGAUUAGAGACCCCUGUAGUCCCUGUCUCUUAUAC
rnacentral:rRNA from 1 species